UGGCUCAGUUGGUAGAGCAUGUGGCUCUUGAUCUCACGGCUGUGAGUUCAAGUCCCAU
rnacentral:tRNA from 1 species